rnacentral:rRNA from 1 species
AAGUGGAGCAAUCCAUGAGUAAAGUGGCGCACGGGUGAGUAACACGUGACUAACCUACCCUCGAGUGGGGAAUAACCUCGGGGAACCGGGACUUUUACAGCAUAAUAUCUACGGAUCAAAUGCGUAAGCAGCUUGAGGAGGGGGUCGCGGCUGAUUAGCUAGUUGGCGGGGUAAUGGCCCACCAAGGCAGUGAUCAGUAGCCGGCCUGAGAGGGCGCACGGCCACACUGGAACUGAAACACGGUCCAGACUCCUACGGGAGGCAGCAGUGGGGAAUUUUGCGCAAUGGGGGAAACCCUGACGCAGCAACGCCGCGUGGAGGAUGAAGCCCCUUGGG